CCUACGGGGGGCAGCAGUGGGGAAUAUUGGGCAAUGGGCGCAAGCCUGACCCAGCAACGCCGCGUGAAGGAAGAAGGCUUUCGGGUUGUAAACUUCUUUUAAGAGGGAAGAGCAGAAGACGGUACCUCUUGAAUAAGCCACGGCUAACUACGUGCCAGCAGCCGCGGUAAUACGUAGGUGGCAAGCGUUGUCCGGAUUUACUGGGUGUAAAGGGCGUGCAGCCGGGCUUACAAGUCAGAUGUGAAAUCCUGCGGCUCAACCGCAGAACUGCAUUUGAAACUGUAGGUCUUGAGUACUGGAGAGGC
rnacentral:rRNA from 1 species